CAUCGUUCGGGGCAUUCUGGGGCUGUUUUGGCUAUUGGUUGCUUGUUUGGUCCUGAACCGAACGGGUGGCUUCUAGCCUGGUGGCUUCGGGGAUGUUGUCCGUAAAGGUGGAUGAGUGGUGUUUGGUUUGUUACGUGUGGUUGGCUGCGGCGUUUGCAACAACUUCCAUGCUUUCAGACCUCUUCAUUUGUGCGGCAAGGCUUGUAUCGCCUUGAGCGUAUUUUGGGUUUUCUGUGUUGAAUACCUAAUCAAUGGUAUCGGUUGGAUUGAUCAAUGUUUCAUUUCGUCUGUCGUCGCAUUCGCGGCKUGAGAUGAACCUUGAUGCGGUCUCUUUGAUCCACCUUGUUGAAGCGCAUGCUUUGACGUUGUGGCGCAUUGAGCAUUGCUUGGUCUCUUGUAUGCGGAACAUGUAGCGGGCAUGAAUCUCACGAUUCUCGUUUGCCCUCAUAUUAGCGUAACGCUUCUCUUACACGACUUGCUCCACGUUUUAGCAUGUACGGACGUGGUGCUAUGUCGAAGAGGAAUGCUACCUGGUGAUCCUGCC
rnacentral:misc_RNA from 1 species